rnacentral:tRNA from 1 species
GGAACGGUAGCUCAGUGGAGAGAGCACUUGCCAGCGCCGCACCUUGCCCUCUAGGGCCGAUGGCACCUGGCUUAUCGACUGUUAAUCGAGAGGUCGUGGGUUCGACUCCCACCCGUUCCA